rnacentral:lncRNA from 1 species
GACGGUCAAUUGUAUUUGCUUCAGAACGCAUUGCAUUAUUAGUUACUAGGGGAGGCUAGGGAUAGCAAGCCGAUAAUUAGUAAUAGGCUCUUUUCACCAAGGAAUUGGGUUAAGGGUAAUUAAGAAAGUAUGCAUGUCGAUUAGAUAAAUAAGUGAAUUAAAUAAGAAGAGAAAAUAUAUGAGAGUGGAUAAGAUGAUAUUGUAAACCCCAACAACAAUAUUCAUCCAUAGUUCUCAAAACCAAUUGAAUCUAUUGCAUUGCAUGUUUAUUUUGUUCCUUGCAUACAAUCACUAUAUAUAUUUUCUUCUCAAGUCUUACGCGAUUAGGUUACAUGAAAGUUAAGGCCUAAGAGUCCUUUGGGAAAACGAUACUCGGACUUACCUGUUUAUAUUACUUGAUAACGAUCUGAUACACUUGCGAGGGACUUACCAAGUUUUUGGCGCCGUUACUGGGGACUCGUGGUUUAACUUAUCUAGUAAUGUAAACUGAUUAAGUUUGACUUGAUUGUAGAUAUCUUUUUAUCUUUUUAUCUUUUUAUUUUUUAUUUUUUUUAUUUUUUUUAUAAAAUAUAAAAAAGUGCUACUAGGGUUUGUUUCUUGUGCAUGCAACAGGAGACGAGACAUACUAAGAGCAAGAAAAAUACACAACCUAUUCUUGAAGGCUUAAGC